GACGAACGCUGGCGGCGUGCUUAACACAUGCAAGUCGAACGGAAAGGCCCUGCUUUUGUGGGGUGCUCGAGUGGCGAACGGGUGAGUAACACGUGAGUAACCUGCCCUUGACUUUGGGAUAACUUCAGGAAACUGGGGCUAAUACCGGAUAGGAGCUCCUGCUGCAUGGUGGGGGUUGGAAAGUUUCGGCGGUUGGGGAUGGACUCGCGGCUUAUCAGCUUGUUGGUGGGGUAGUGGCUUACCAAGGCUUUGACGGGUAGCCGGCCUGGGAGGGUGACCGGCGACAUUGGGCCUGAGGUACGGCCCAGACGCGUACGGGAGGCAGCAGUGGGGAAUAUUGCACAGUGGGCGGAAGCCUGAUGCGGCGACGCCGCGUGCGGGAUGACGGCCUGCGGGGUGUGAACCGCUUUCGCCUGUGACGAAGCGUGAGUGACGGUAAUGGGUAAAGAAGCACCGGCUAACUACGUG
rnacentral:rRNA from 1 species